rnacentral:lncRNA from 1 species
UCUGUCUGCAGACUGGCCCUCACCACAGGGGCCGUGGAGCCCUGCCCUGUGACCUCCUGAGGCCCUGAGACUGUGGGCCACACCCCACCCCACGAGUUUCCUUCCUGCCGUGGCCAGCCGUGGAGCCCUCACUGACUGACAGCGCCCGUUCCCCUAAAGGGCUGCUGCAGGCCUUGCAGGAGCAGACAAGGAAAAGAAAAAACCAGUCCCCGCCCCAACACACAGCUGAACCCAAGCACAGAGAAGAGCAGAGGGAAGGAGUCCAGGGAAACGCCGGGAGGUGAAUCUAGGCUGCACCGUGACAGCGCAGGAGGAGCAGACAGCACGGUCCCAACAGAAGCCCGCGACUACACCCAGGAGGGUGACAUAUGAACAUGAGCACUUCCAUCAGGUGUCUCAGUGUUCCCGAGAAUUUGUGGGGGUGGGGACAAAGAGGGAGAGAGCAUGCAGGGCUCCUGGGAGGCUCAAGCAAACCUCCAGGCUGCUGUGCCCCAGAAGGCACAGAGGCAGACAAAGAGAAACAAGCCCCUCCCCCAGCACCUCGGGGGUCAAGGACUCAGUCUCCCCACUUCCCACUCCCCUGCCCAACCAGAGGGUAUCAGGCAGGACAGGUUAUGAAGAGCCCCAGGGUGGGAAGCAGCACCAGGGUUCCAGGAAUAAAAAGAGCAGCGAGUAGGGGCCAUGGCAGGCUGAGGCCAAGGGAAAGGCAACUGUGACCACCAACAGAGAGGUGACAGAUGGGGCUUGGAGACUGAAAGCCCAGCAGGCUGCAGAGGGAUGGGGAGGCCUGCACUCAGGAAGGGGACUCUGGUGGUUGAGACCCAGGUGGUGGUGGAGGAGGUAAGUGGGGCCUGACUUCCUCCUGCCACCGGGACUUGACCAUGGCACCUGCCUCGGGCUGCCGCAGGGCUUAGGCUGGUGCUGCCUCAACCCUGGCACCAGCAUGAUGCUGAAGAGGGUUUGGCACAGGUGUGUUGGGCUGCUGAGAGCCAGCCACUGUCGGUGGCCAGCACUGGGAGGCUCUGCAGUGGCUAAGUGGGCAAGUGCCGGCGCUUCUGAAAAUGGCAAAUCAGC